rnacentral:misc_RNA from 1 species
AUAAAUAAAGGGGUCAAUAUUAAUCAAUGUGUCAGUAUGUGGAAGUUAUGAACUAAACCAUCCAACACAAGCAUUGUACAAUCUUGGUUGAUUUAAAAUGCACAAAACCAGUACCUCAAGCAAUUAAUAUUACAAACAUAUUGAACCCACCCACUGCUCGGGUUAAGAAAAAAGACUUACUAUUGAUCAAUUAAAGGCGAAAAGGAAAAGUAAUUAGAGAUAGUAUGAACAGAAGACCAUGCUUCAAUGGGUAAAAUGCUAGAAAGAUAAUAAGUUCACAAGUUCAUUGUUUGUCCUAAAUGGAAAAAAGAUAGCAUCUCAUUGAAACAAGUCAUAGCCACAUAAAAAGCUACAGUAUGCCAAAACAAAUCAGCAAAGGAUAAAAAAAAUUAUCAACAUUUUGUGAGAAUAAAAGGAGAAGAAAGGCAUUGAAAACUAAAGCAACCACUCUCUAAAAUAAGAUCAUCUAAAGCCUCAUACUCAUAUACAUACAAAAAAGACCUAUAAGACAAGACAGCCGUUAAAAUGUCCUAGGCUCGAGUUGUUGAAAGACAAAUCGUUUUUUCCUACCCUCAAUUUCUUAUAAGGUGAGAAUUAAUUUAGUAAUGUUAUGCGAAAUCAUGCUUCUUCACAUAUUUUUCUUUAGGUAAACAUAUCCUUUUCCCUGUGUCAAUUCUCACAGGCUUCGGCAAUUUCCAUGACUUCAAACAUUUAUUGCAUGUUUGUCAUACUCUAACUGAAUGUAAUGCAAUAAAAUGGAUUUAUAAUUCAUUUUUCUAUUAUUUGAUUUCUCAACUACAUCCCAUUACGUUCAACUACAUCAUACCAAUAACGUCCUUCAUGUAUUUUCAACUCCCAAAAAUUUUUAUGGCAGUCCAAGAUGGUAAUGAAUCCCAUCAAACUCACCCCUCCCAACCGAGCAAACAACCAAGGGAAAAAAAAGAUAAAAAGAAGAGGGUUAUAAUGAUCGAGUACCAAAGAAAAAUCAC